CGGAACUUUGUCUGACCUGAGGUACGUACUACAGUCUCAUGAAUUUGAAUGUGUCAUCAACUAUUACUUAUUAGUUCUGUAUAUGUUCUUUAGUAUAUUGUAAGCUCUGAACAAGACAAUGCCUAAAAGGGUCAGACAUUGCUUUUCCGUGCCAUUCAGUUUUUUCAGUUGAGUUGGCUACUUAAUUUUCCACUAUGUUAAUUCUUUCGUUUGCAAUUUCUCAUUGGUGUUCAUGUAAUUACCCUGCAACCUUUCUUAGUAGUGCCUAACAUUUGAUUGUUGUGCUUACAUAGAACUGGAACUUUUUUGGAUUUUGUAAGGCUGCGGAUAACAAGCCGGUGAGAGCUUAUGGUUCAGUUAGAACCUACCUCUUUCUCUAUCCUAAUGCGAUUUAUAAUGUUUUAUUCUGGUGAGCAUAUGAGACAUUGCUUAUGGUUCUAACUCUAUGGGACAAUCUGAAGUUAUUUGUCUCAUCGUUGUGCCACAAGUUUCUGACAUCACCGUGCCUGUACACCAUCGACUUCACUGGAAAUAUGUCUGCACGUACUUCAUCGUCCGCCGGAACUUUGUCUGACCUAAGGUACGUACUGCAGUCUCAUGAAUUUGAAUGUGUCAUCAACUAUUACUUAUUAGUUCUGUAUAUGUUCUUUAGUAUAUUGUAAGCUCUGAACAAGACAAUGCCUAAAAGGGUCAGACAUUGCUUUUCCGUGCCAUUCAGUUUUUUCAGUUGAGUUGGCUACUUAAUUUUCCACUAUGUUAAUUCUUUCGUUUGCAAUUUCUCAUUGGUGUUCAUGUAAUUACCCUGCAACCUUUCUUAGUAGUGCCUAACAUUUGAUUGUUGUGCUUACAUAGAACUGGAACUUUUUUGGAUUUUGUAAGGCUGUGGAUAACAAGCCGGUGCGAGCUUAUGGUUCAGUUAGAACCUACCUCUUUCUCUAUCCUAAUGCGAUUUAUAAUGUUUUAUUCUGGUGAGCAUAUGAGACAUUGCUUAUGGUUCUAACUCUAUGGGACAAUCUGAAGUUAUUUGUCUCAUCGUUGUGCCACAAGUUUCUGACAUCACCGUGCCUGUACACCAUCGACUUCACUGGAAAUAUGUCUGCACGUACUUCAUCGUCCGCCGGAACUUUGUCUGACCUGAGGUACGUACUGCAGUCUCAUGAAUUUGAAUGUGUCAUAAACUAUUACUUAUUAGUUCUGUAUAUGUUCUUUAGUAUAUUGUAAGCUCUGAACAAGACAAUGCCUAAAAGGGUCAGACAUUGCUUUUCCGUGCCAUUCAGUUUUUUCAAUUGAGUUGGCUACUUAAUUUUCCACUAUGUUAAUUCUUUCGUUUGCAAUUUCUCAUUGGUGUUCAUGUAAUUACCCUGCAGCCUUUCUUAGUAGUGCCUAACAUUUGAUUGUUGUGCUUACAUAGAACUGGAAGUUUUUUGGAUUUUGUAAGGCUGCGGAUAACAAGCCGGUGCGAGCUUAUGGUUCAGUUAGAACCUACCUCUUUCUCUAUCCUAAUGCGAUUUAUAAUGUUUUAUUCUGGUGAGCAUAUGAGGCUGCAGUACUAGGUUGAUGCUCAGAAGUUAAAUUGCUUGCUGAUUAAUUUGCGUCAUAUUAUUCACAUCAAACAGCAGCAAUUUUCUUAUCCAAGUUCAUUUGAUUUUGUAGGCAGGGGGAUUCAAUACCAAGAUUUAUGAUUUGGCAUAAGUGAGAUGACAUAUAGGUGAGUAUGUUGUUCUGGCUUUAUGAUACGAGUGUUUUGCACAAAUAUUUCUCAAUAAUGAGCAUAUGUUCUUUUCUGAUGUUGCAUUAGUCAAUGUUUUGAAACUGAUGUAUCUGUGACAAAAAUAUUGAAGUUAUGGACAUGUUGAUAAUUGGUUAUCAAGCAAAGGUACGUUCACUAAAUGUUAGUGGUUAUCGGAAGAAGAAAUCAGUUCAUUUACCGCUGCAGUAAAAAGUGGCACAACUGAUUUUGUUCAGAUACUAAAUUUGCUUGCAUGCUAUUUUUAUAGGCAUUUCCUACAUAUUGAGGGGUAUGCGUGAUAUCUUUUCUAAGGCCAUGAAAUAUUUUCAGGUAGCUUUUCUUAAUAAGGUCAAUGGCUUGCGUACUGUACUUCUAUAGAUCCUUUCUUUCAUAAUGAGCUAUGUGCAUACUCUCUUUCCUCAUUUGAUCAGGGAAGCUACUCAGUAUUUUUGUUGAAGUUAGUAUAACAUGUCUCAUAAAUUCAGAAGUUAUUAUAACAUGACAAUGAGGUUGCAUCAUGAGUCUGAAACCAAGCCUCUCCUGUUCACAUAAUGAUCUCCUCACAAAACCAAAAUCAUUUGAUGAUUUAUAUACAAUUUUAUUAUACUCAUUCUCCUGUCAGAUUGAGAAUGUGGUUCAUGUAGAAAGGACUACAUGCAGAAAUAAGGAUCAUAGUAAUACUUUUCCAAUGAUUCUCUCGGAGGUCAUGUCUUAAUGUUAUUCAAGGAUUUUGAUAUCCAAAAGUUAUGACAUAUUAGAUAGGGAGGUAGCCAUCUGUGUCCCGGAGGCCACUGUAGGCUGCACUGAAGGGCACACUGCAAUUAGCAGGUACAUGGAUGCGGCGAUCCCGGAUGUGCUUUGCUGCUGUCAUUUUUUUAUCAAGGACGCCACUGUCCAAGUCAUUCUUCUGCCUUGGUUAGUGGUGCUUCUCUUCCAUUCCACAUACGAACACCCAUGGAGAAGCUCAUUUAUAAAACAUCCAUCUAUGAAUGAAUUUCUCAAAUAUUACCAUCUGCAAUGGACAUGAUAAUGGUAGAACACUUGUGAUGAUGGACAUAUGUUUAAGGUUUUAUUUUCCCGUUGCAACGCACGGGCAUCACACCAAGGAUUUUUGUUAAUUUCACUUUACUUGGUAUAUGAACUAAUCCUGAAUGGAAAAUAGUUUGUGCUGCUAUCAUCGAUAGAUUAUAAUAAACAUUGCUAGCUUCUUGUGUGUAGGCUUGUUCUGUGCUAGACUACCAAAAUAUGUUUUGCUUCGAUAAUUCUUAUUUAUGUACUAACAAUGUUCUGGGUCCAUGUUCACAUUGAAGCUUAUAGAUCACAAUCCUAAAAUCCUUCAUAGACAUACAUAUUUUCAUUCUAAGCCAUUAUAUAGUUCUUUGUUUUGGAAAUUGUCUAGCCUGACAUUUUUCAGAAUUUGUACAAGUCUUUUAACAAAUUUUGGUAUCCUUUGGACAGGAAGCUUUAGAAUGCUGGUGGCUGAUGGGGAUUAUAAGAACUUAAAUGCCAGAGAAGUCGUGCUCCCCUUUACGACGAAGACUCAGACUUGAAGUCCCUUAUGUGCUUGAUACAAACGCCUCCCUUUUUUGUACUUAGAAUGACUGGUGUCUGACACAAACUCACUAUUAUAAUCAAGAGUCAAGACGAUUGUUGUGCAAUACGACAGGCGAAACCUAAUUCAUG
rnacentral:lncRNA from 1 species